rfam:Schistosoma mattheei strain Denwood, Zambia genome assembly, scaffold: SMTD_scaffold0000392
AUCUGGCUGAGGAGUCCCAAAUAGGAUGAAACGUGUGUCCUAAAU